CAUCCUGUCGUUCAAAACCCUAAUCUUGUACCUACCCCUAUGUUCAUAGAACCAGCAUAUUCACAACAAACUGAAAUGAAAACUGCACCAGAGGGGCCUGCGCCUCCUAAUCGUGUGUUUCAUCAACCUACACACUGUUCCACUGUCUGUACUGUUGCCUAUUCCAACUGCUGUCCACUGGCCUUGUCCUUUCACCAGCAUCACCACCAUCACAAUUACUUUGGUCCUGUGUUAGGUCAGAUGGUUCAGCCAGCCACCAGUGGCAAGGAACCUUCGUUUAUUCAGCAACACUUUAGUCAUUCCCUAACCAACAAACAACUGCUGUAUCCAUUUUUGAAUGCAACCUACAAGCCAACAUCCCCAACUCCCUCUCUGCAAAGAGUUUCUUACCAGGAACAGGAUGCCAAACGUAUGCUCAUAUCCAAAUCUGAUCCAACCGUGAAACCCAUUUCACCUUCAACCAAUCAGAUUGAUCCUCCCUCCCGGAGUUCGUACAUGUACACCCCUGUAAAUGACCAGCACUUUCAGCAUCCACCCAACAGUGUGCAAUUAACCCAGCAGUCUGCUUCCAAAUCCCCCAGCAUCCAACCUGUGAAAGAUCCCCUGCCUCACCAGUGGUUUCAAUAUCCUUAUAAUUUACCUAACCCCAAAUUGACCUCCAGCUCAGGUCCUGAUAUUCCAACGAACAAUCCUGAAAGCACCACUGUAAAAACUUUAGGCUUGCCUAGUGUCCAGGAAGCCAAAUAUCCCAUUUUGAAACCUCAGAGCCCUGUGAAGGACCCUGCUCCUUAUCCAUCGUUCCAGACUCCGUACUUUGUGCCUUACCCUCCACCCACUUCUAAACCAUGUACACUUCCUGAGUCUCUAACUUCCCUUGCCCACCCGUCAAUUACUUCUGCCUUUAAUACAGAGGCUCCAAGCUCUCAAUUUCACAAGGGCCUAAUAUCAACGCCACCUAGCUCUAAACCUACACAAAAGUCUGUGCCUUACCCAUGGUCCCAGCAUCUCCCAGAUCCCUUCAGAUCUUUCUCUUCAGAUUCCCCUCGAGUGCAUUCCACACAGUCAAAACCUUCAACUUCAGAACUGACCCAGAGGGAGCCACUGGGAGUUUCACAGACGCAAUAUUGGCAUCAAACGGUCCCUGCGAAGGCCGCUGUUGGGGAUAAGCACUCAAAAGUGCCUUUUGAUCCUGAGUCAUCAAAACCUCAUCCUCAGAGUGUUGGGUCUUCCAAAAAAAAACCCUCUCCUCACUACUCUAGUUCUGGUGCUAACGACAAUUAUUUUGUGCCACUUGGAUCUUCUCAGUUUAAGGAUUACUGGAAACCGUUGCGGCUUCAUCAUGAACAAAAGAUUUACUGGAAGCCAGGUUCCUCUUUGAAAUAUUUCACAAGGCAGGAUUUCAACUUGGGGAAAAUUUAAGGAGAGCACUUGAAUAUGGAGA
ensembl:lncRNA